rnacentral:misc_RNA from 1 species
GAUGAAGAACGUAGUGAAAUGCGAUAAUUAAUGUGAAUUGCAGAAUUCAGUGAAUCAUCGAGUCUUUGAACGCACAUUGCGCCCCCUGGUAUUCCGGGGGGCAUGCCUGUCCGAGCGUCAUUGCUGCCCUCAAGCACGGCUUGUGUGUUGGGCUUCCGUCCCUGGCAACGGGGACGGGCCCAAAAGGCAGUGGCGGCACCAUGUCUGGUCCUCGAGCGUAUGGGGCUUUGUCACCCGCUCCCGUAGGUCCAGCUGGCAGCUAGCCUCGCAACCAAUCUUUUUAACCAGGUUGACCUCGGAUCAGGUAGGACUACCCGCUGAACUUAAGCAUAUCAAUAAGCGGAGGA